UUACAGAUGCAUCAAAAUUAAUUUUUAUGACCCCAACAGGAGGGGGUAGUCAAGAUACUAUACAAAGUUGACAAAAAGAUAAACCCUUUUGUAUUUGGCUAUCCCAAUAUUGACAUGGGGUAGAAAAAGAUAAAAAAUACAAGCAUCUAAAGUCUUUAGCAAAAACUAUCAAUUUGCAUAUUAAUUGAGCAAUCAUCAUCUGAUUGCUAUUAAAGAUCCAUUUAUCCUGAGCCCACGAAAGCAACCAAGCUACAUAUGCCAAG
rnacentral:lncRNA from 1 species